AUGCCAGAAAUGCCGACUUGGUUUAUUAGAAUAAUACCAUUUAUACUAGUAUCAACUGAAAAUGGGGGAUGUCCCUUAAAAAAAAAAAAAAAAAAACCUUUCUUACAAUUUUUUUUUUUUUUGCUCUCCUGUUAUAUUUAUUUACAAGGUAGCCUGAUUUAAUUUCUAUAGGAAAAGUACUUAUUGAAAAUAAGGAAAUAAGUUUCACUAGAGUGAUAACUUGAAGAGACAGACACCCCGAGGUCACUUGUCAAAAUCCAGCACAGAUCAGUAGCAAUGAAGUCCUUUGGCAGAUAUAAAAACUCUUCAGUGGACUUAAAUCCCUGCCAAAAGAGGUAAGCUGCUCUGGAGAAGUAUCAAGGAGUCUGAACUGCCCUUCACUGAAGUAAGUUGCCGAAGCACAGAUGAUAGCCCUGGUUAGGUUCCAUAGACAAUGACCAGAAAGGAAUAUCCUAUUUUGUAGAUAAACUGAAUCAACAAAGGAAGUCUACAUGUAAACAUUAUCUUAUGUACGUCUUUAAGAGAGUUAGGUAUAUAUACUAUCAAUAGCUAUGGGUGACAAUUCACAGGGAGAAAGAAAAGGAACAACACACCGUCAAGUUUUUUGUUUGUUUGUUUUUCAGAAAACAAGGAAACAGACAAACAGUAAUGCUGGAGAAGCUAUCACUCUGGAUACCCUACCUGUGAUAACUCCCAGGAAUCUGCAUCUGCUUAUGGAUCCAUAAACAUUUAUUUUUCUGCCAUUGAUACCAAAUCAAGGAAUCAUGAAGUAAUUUAGGCUGGAAGAUAUUGCUGGACAUCAUCUAGUCCAACCUCUGACUCAGGGAAGAGUCAGAUUAAGCUGCUCUGGACCCCUGUUAGUCAAACUUUGGAUGUCUUCAAGGAUGGAGAUCCCACAAGCACUCUGUGAACCUAUUCCAGUGUUUGACCACCCUUGGCACAGAAAGAUUUUGCCCUUAUCUAAUCAGAAUAUCCCUUGUGAAACUAGUGCUUGUUGCCUCUUAACCUUCCAGUAGGUACCUCUAUGAAGGGUUUGUUGUCUGUACGCUCCAAUUAGGCAACUGAAGAGGCUAUAAAAUCUCCCCUUAGUGUAGUCCCCCAUGAGGAGAGAGGAGGGAAGGCUGUAGAGCCAGACAGUGCACUCAGGGCCCCAACACCCACCCAGUCUGCACCUCCACAG
rnacentral:lncRNA from 1 species